UGUGAGUGAUGAAGGCUUUCGGGUCGUAAAGCUCUGUCAAGUGGGAAGAAGUUAUAUAAUGUUAAUACCAUUAUAUAUUGACGGUACCACUGAAGGAAGCACCGGCUAACUCCGUGCCAGCAGCCGCGGUAAUACGGGGGGUGCAAGCGUUAUUCGGAAUCAUUGGGCGUAAAGAGCACGUAGGCGGCUUGGUAAGUCAGAUGUGAAAGCCCGGGGCUUAACCCCGGAAGUGCAUUUGAUACUGCCAAGCUUGAGUAUGGGAGAGGGAAGUGGAAUUCCUGGUGUAGAGGUGAAAUUCGUAGAUAUCAGGAGGAACACCGGUGGCGAAGGCGACUUCCUGGACCAAUACUGACGCUGAGGUGCGAAGGCGUGGGUAGCAAACAGGAUUAGAUACCCUGGUAGUCCACGCAGUAAACGUUGAUCACUAGGUGUAGCGGGUAUUGACCCCUGCUGUGCCGCAGUUAACGCAUUAA
rnacentral:rRNA from 1 species